UCAUCCUGUGCUGCACCCACUGAGGUAUCCCCCGCGAGGCCUAAUCAGUAGCGUUGUGCCAUUCAGCAACUGCUGCCAGAACUGGAAUCGUGCUGUCACGAGUCUCAGAUGACUUACAGGACCAAGUGAACUGCAUAAUUCAGGAGCAGGCUGCAGUGGCUUUCCUGAGAUCUGAAUGGUCAGAAUCUAAUCCUCUCAUCACCUGAACAACUCGCAGACAGCAGUGGUCUCUUUGAAAAUCUGGUCCAUGCUGCUGCUUGCUGGGCCUUGAGGCAACACAGUUACAUUGAAGAGCCUCUGGCAAUGCUGGCUUACACAGAAACUCAAGAACUGCCAUGUGCCUGACAUCAUACCUUUGGAAGAAAAGAGAAGUCCUGGGUGUUAGCCCAAGACUGGUGAGUAAAACAUAGUCCACGGACUAGAGUCAGUUUAUGUUUGUUAGUGAUUUUCAGGCCUGUCACACCCAGUAUCUUCGCCCUGUAAAUCUGUCAC
rnacentral:lncRNA from 1 species